rnacentral:rRNA from 1 species
UACGUAGGGUGCGAGCGUUGUCCGGAAUUACUGGGCGUAAAGAGCUCGUAGGCGGUUUGUCGCGUCGUCUGUGAAAACCCGCAGCUCAACUGUGGGCUUGCAGGCGAUACGGGCAGACUUGAGUACUGCAGGGGAGACUGGAAUUCCUGGUGUAGCGGUGAAAUGCGCAGAUAUCAGGAGGAACACCGGUGGCGAAGGCGGGUCUCUGGGCAGUAACUGACGCUGAGGAGCGAAAGCGUGGGUAGCAAACAGG